rnacentral:ncRNA from 12 species
AUUAUUUGAGGUGGUAAAUUUCGUUGCAACCACGCACCCUAUGGGUUAAAAGAGAUGCAGGGGCCGCGACGCCUGCCAAAUAAU